CCUCCGACAUGGGGAUUGAGAAUGCUCCGGCUAUGAAAAGCAUGGGGUCUGUCUCAGGACACAGCUCCCACAGCCCUAAGUGGGCAAAUGCCCCAAAGUGUCAAGCAUGAGCCACCUCUGAAGGAGCAUUUACUAUCUCAAGACCUUUGGGCAUGUUGUCCCUUCUACCUGGAAUACCCUUCCUUCAAAACUCAGAGCCAAAAGCAAAAAGCGUUCGCUGAUCGCAGAGGGGGAGAGGGAUGUGGGAGGGCUUGGGGCGCAGAAUUAGUUGCUACCUCCUCUGGGCGUUCACAGGCCAAAUUUCCUUGGUGUGGCACCUGGCAUUCUGUGAUUGUGCCUGUUUCCCUGUGGUCUGGUCCUGUGCCUAUUGGCCCAAUUACACUGGGAGUCAUACA
rnacentral:lncRNA from 10 species